ACACAUGCAAGUCGAACGGUAGCACAGAGAGCUUGCUCUCGGGUGACGAGUGGCGGACGGGUGAGUAAUGCCUGGGAAACUGCCCGAUGGAGGGGGAUAACUACUGGAAACGGUAGCUAAUACCGCAUAACGUCUUCGGACCAAAGUGGGGGACCUUCGGGCCUCACACCAUCGGAUGUGCCCAGGUGGGAUUAGCUAGUAGGUGGGGUAAUGGCUCACCUAGGCGACGAUCCCUAGCUGGUCUGAGAGGAUGACCAGCCACACUGGAACUGAGACACGGUCCAGACUCCUACGGGAGGCAGCAGUGGGGAAUAUUGCACAAUGGGCGCAAGCCUGAUGCAGCCAUGCCGCGUGUAUGAAGAAGGCCUUCGGGUUGUAAAGUACUUUCAGCGGGGAGGAAGGCGGUGAAGUUAAUAGCUUCAUCGAUUGACGUUACCCGCAGAAGAAGCACCGGCUAACUCCGUGCCAGCAGCCGCGGUAAUACGGAGGGUGCAAGCGUUAAUCGGAAUUACUGGGCGUAAAGCGCACGCAGGCGGUCUGUCAAGUCGGAUGUGAAAUCCCCGGGCUUAACCUGGGAACUGCAUUCGAAACUGGCAGGCUAGAGUCUUGUAGAGGGGGGUAGAAUUCCAGGUGUAGCGGUGAAAUGCGUAGAGAUCUGGAGGAAUACCGGUGGCGAAGGCGGCCCCCUGG
rnacentral:rRNA from 1 species